GACGAACGCUGGCGGCGUGCCUAAUACAUGCAAGUAGAACGCACAGUUUAUACCGUAGCUUGCUACACCAUAGACUGUGAGUUGCGAACGGGUGAGUAACGCGUAGGUAACCUGCCUGGUAGCGGGGGAUAACUAUUGGAAACGAUAGCUAAUACCGCAUAAUAUUAAUUAUUGCAUGAUAAUUAAUUGAAAGGUGCAAUUGCACCACUACCAGAUGGACCUGCGUUGUAUUAGCUAGUAGGUGAGGUAACGGCUCACCUAGGCGAAGAUACAUAGCAGACUUAGGAGGGGGAUCGGCCACACUGGGACUGGGACACGGCCCAGAAGGCUACGGGAAGCAGCAGGAGGGAAUCUUCGGCAAUGGACGAAAGUCUGACCGAGCAGAGCCGCGUGAGUGAAGAAGGGUGUCGGGUCGUAAAGCUCUGUUGUAAGAGAAGAACGGGUGUGAGAGUGGAAAGUUCACACUGUGACGGUAUCUUACCAGAAAGGGACGGCUAACUACGUG
rnacentral:rRNA from 1 species